rnacentral:rRNA from 1 species
UACAGAGGGGGCAAGCGUUGUUCGGAAUUACUGGGCGUAAAGGGCGCGUAGGCGGCCCGCUAAGUCGAACGUGAAAUCCCCGAGCUCAACUCGGGAACUGCGUCCGAUACUGGCGGGCUUGAAUCCGGGAGAGGGAUGCGGAAUUCCAGGUGUAGCGGUGAAAUGCGUAGAUAUCUGGAGGAACACCGGUGGCGAAGGCGGCAUCCUGGACCGGCAUUGACGCUGAGGCGCGAAAGCUAGGGAGCAAAGCGGG